CCUACGGGGGGCAGCAGUGAGGAAUAUUGGUCAAUGGCCGGGAGGCUGAACCAGCCAAGUCGCGUGAGGGAAGACGGCCCUAUGGAUUGUAAACCUCUUUUGUCAGGGAGCAAAGGGCGCCACGUGUGGCGCUUUGCGAGUACCUGAAGAAAAAGCAUCGGCUAACUCCGUGCCAGCAGCCGCGGUAAUACGGAGGAUGCGAGCGUUAUCCGGAUUUAUUGGGUUUAAAGGGUGCGCAGGCGGAAUGUCAAGUCAGCGGUAAAAUUUCGGGGCUCAACCCCGUCGUGCCGUUGAAACUGGCGUUCUUGAGUGAGCGAGAAGUAUGCGGAAUGCGUGGUGUAGCGGUGAAAUGCAUAGAUAUCACGCAGAACUCCGAUUGCGAAGGCAGCAUACCGGCGCUCAACUGACGCUCAUGCACGAAAGCGUGGGUAUCGAACAGGAUUAGAUACCCUUGUAGUC
rnacentral:rRNA from 1 species